rnacentral:rRNA from 1 species
GAUGAACGCUGGCGGCGUGCCUAACACAUGCAAGUCGAACGGAGUUACGAUGAAACCUAGUGAUUCGUAACUUAGUGGCGGACGGGUGAGUAACGCGUGGAUAACCUGCCUUGCACUGGGGGAUAACACUUAGAAAUAGGUGCUAAUACCGCAUAAGCGCACAGAGCCGCAUGGCUCAGUGUGAAAAACUCCGGUGGUGUAAGAUGGAUCCGCGUCUGAUUAGCUGGUUGGCGGGGUAGAAGCCCACCAAGGCGACGAUCAGUAGCCGGCCUGAGAGGGUGAACGGCCACAUUGGGACUGAGACACGGCCCAAACUCCUACGGGAGGCAGCAGUGGGGAAUAUUGCACAAUGGGGGAAACCCUGAUGCAGCAACGCCGCGUGAGUGAAGAAGUCAUUCGUGAUGUAAAGCUCUAUCAGCAGGGAAGAAAAUGACGGUACCUGAGUAAGAAGCCCCGGCUAACUACGUGCCAGCAGCCGCGGUAAUACGUAGGGGGCAAGCGUUAUCCGGAUUUACUGGGUGUAAAGGGAGCGUAGACGGCCAGACAAGUCUGAAGUGAAAAUCCAGCGCUUAACGUUGGAAGUGCUUUGGAAACUGCCGGGCUAGAGUGCAGGAGGGGCAGGCGGAAUUCCUAGUGUAGCGGUGAAAUGCGUAGAUAUUAGGAGGAACACCAGUGGCGAAGGCGGCCUGCUGGACUGCAACUGACGUUGAGGCUCGAAGGCGUGGUGAGCAAACAGGAUUAGAUACCCUGGUAGUCCACGCGGUAAACGAUGAUUACUAGGUGUCGGGGGGGCUAGAGCCCUUCGGUGCCGUCGCAAACGCAAUAAGUAAUCCACCUGGGGAGUACGUUCGCAAGAAUGAAACUCAAAGGAAUUGACGGGGACCCGCACAAGCGGUGGAGCAUGUGGUUUAAUUCGAAGCAACGCGAAGAACCUUACCUGACCUUGACAUCCCAAUGACCGGACAGUAAUGUGUCCUUCCCUUCGGGGCAUUGGAGACAGGUGGUGCAUGGUUGUCGUCAGCUCGUGUCGUGAGAUGUUGGGUUAAGUCCCGCAACGAGCGCAACCCUUACCCUUAGUAGCCAGCGGGGAAAGCCGGGCACUCUAGGGGGACUGCCAGGGAUAACCUGGAGGAAGGCGGGGAUGACGUCAAAUCAUCAUGCCCCUUAUGGUCUGGGCUACACACGUGCUACAAUGGUGGCCACAGAGGGAUGCAAACCCGCGAGGGGGAGCGAACCCCAAAAAAGCCAUCCCAGUUCGGAUUGUACCCUGCAACCCGGGUACAUGAAGCUGGAAUCGCUAGUAAUCGCGAAUCAGAAUGUCGCGGUGAAUACGUUCCCGGGUCUUGUACACACCGCCCGUCACACCAUGGGAGAUGGAUAUGCCCGAAGUCAGUGACCGAACCGAAAGGACGGAGCUGCCGAAGGUGGAGCCAUUAACUGGGGUG